rnacentral:misc_RNA from 1 species
CCUCCUUUCUAAGGAAACCAAUACAAAAUCAAUCAUCUUCAGUUUUGAAAGACUUAGGAUAACUAAGUUUUUCUUCGUGACUUCCUACGAAGGGCCUAUAGCUCAGUUGGUUAGAGCACACGCCUGAUAAGCGUGAGGUCGGUGGUCGUCAAGUCCAUUUAGGCCCACCAGAGUUAUAGGUGUCGUAAGAACACAAAUUCUUUGAAAAGUUUAGGUAAAUAAUAGUUAUUUUUCCGGAACAUUAAAGGAA